UGGGGAAUAUUGGACAAUGGGCGCAAGCCUGAUCCAGCCAUUCCUCGUGAGUGAUGAAGGCCCUAGGGUUGUAAAGCUCUUUCACCGGUGAAGAUAAUGACGGUAACCGGAGAAGAAGCCCCGGCUAACUUCGUGCCAGCAGCCGCGGUAAUACGAAGGGGGCUAGCGUUGUUCGGAUUUACUGGGCGUAAAGCGCACGUAGGCGGACUAUUAAGUCAGGGGUGAAAUCCCGGGGCUCAACCCCGGAACUGCCUUUGAUACUGGUAGUCUUGAGUUCGAGAGAGGUGAGUGGAAUUCCGAGUGUAGAGGUGAAAUUCGUAGAUAUUCGGAGGAACACCAGUGGCGAAGGCGGCUCACUGGCUCGAUACUGACGCUGAGGUGCGAAAGCGUGGGGAGCAAACAGG
rnacentral:rRNA from 1 species